UGCAGCAGCAUGCAACGAUUGCAACGGUCAGUGAUGCAGUUUUGUUAACCAGAGGAAAUAGGAUAAUUUUCUGCCCUUCGUGACCAGCUGAAGGCCUCUGAAGUGCACAAUACCAUCGCGACCAUUGCCCACCGAUGCCAUCCGAGUGUGAAUGGCCUGCGUUUGCGUCACGCUGGCCAAACGAAAUCGUAAGAAUUCUCGUCUCGCCCAAGCAAGAUUGAGAAAUCGUGACAUCCCAAAUUAUAUGGAGACGGCCCCGACUUAAAGCCCACUGAGUCCGCUGUUGAGGAACGGUCAAGAAUCAAAAUUGUUCUGAGAUGGCGAGUACGCGCCAGGUCGAAGAAGAAGGAGAAAGAGAAGGAGAAGUAAAAGCAGCUGAAAGAGAACAGCCUGUGAAGGAUCACCUGAUGCAGAGGGAGAAGAGGAGGCAUGUGAGGAAAAUGUUAAUUGUGGUUUUAUAUAUAUUAUUUUGAUACAUUUCCUAAUUUGUUCAACAACACUUGAGCUUGGUCGCUUUAUUUUUUAUUUUAUUUGGAAACCAGCAAGCAUAUUAAUUAGAAAAAAAUUAUCUGAUUUAUAGUGCUUUUAUCUAUUGUUUUGUUGAAACUGAACGAUCGUAAUGUAAUGCAGCUUAAUCUUUUACACACUUCAUCUGUCAUAAACCACACUCUGAGGAAAAAUUCUUACGGUGAGAAUCAAAAUGCGGCUCUCAAAUUGAGAACGCAAUUUUGAGUCUCACCGUGAGUAGCAGAGAGGUGGUCUGGCGCUUUUGGAUCUCACUUAUAUAUCUCACAGUGAAGCCAAAAAGCGGUCUGCCUUCUCGUACUCACGGUUAGAACUCGCUCGCUUCGGUAUCGACUGAGCGUUUCGAUCUCCCUGUGAGAUCCAAAAGCGUUUGGUCGCCUCUGCUAUUCACGGUGAGAUUUGUUCUCUCAAAUUGAGGGCGAAACUUUAAGUCUCACCGUGAAUAACAGAAGCGAGACUGAACGCUUUUUUAAAUUUCACAAUGAGAUCGAAAUUCUCGCUCUCAGUCGAUACCGGAGCGAGCGAGCAUUUGGGUUGUACCCUUGAGUACGAGAAGGCUGGCCGCUUUUUGACCUCAUUGUGAGAUAGAAGCGAGGAUCUGUGAGAUCCAAAAGCGCUAGACCACCUCUCUGCUACUCACGGUCAGACUCAAAAUUGCGUUCUCAAUUUGAGAGCCGCAUUUUGCUUCUCACCGUAAGGAUUUUCCCUCCGAGUGUAGUCUAUGACAGAAUCUGUUAUGCUCUUUUUGUAUGCGGAAACUGACGAAUUAGUGUUUAUGUGAAAUGAUUGAUGUACCAUAUUUUGGAAACCAAGGAAUUAAAA